rnacentral:lncRNA from 1 species
AGCUAGCCUUUAGAUUUGUCUGCUAACAGUAAAAAUACUAUAAUAAAUCGGUAACAUAUGUUGCCAGGCAAGGAAAAGUGAUAUAAAUAAAGAGACUAGGAGACCCAAACCAAGUACAAUGUGAAAAGAAUUUAACUUUCAAUCUAUGCAUUGGCUAAUUAUCAUUUGAAAAGUAAUUUGAAAGUGUUACAGUUAUUUGCUUAUAUUCUUCCUCAUUUUUCUUUUUUUCUCUUCAGAUUGCAUUCUUACCCAAAUACUCUUCGUGAUUGCCUGCUUUGCGGCUUUGGGGUAAGUCCCAGUUUUCCACAACCUUAAAGAAAAAAAAAUGCAUAACAUAAAAGAUGCCAAAAAGACUUAUGUGUCCUGAUGUGCGGGUUUUGUGAAAUAUACAUGGGUUUGUUUUUUUUUGGGGGGGGGUGGCGGGGAACGAUGUUGGUAAUGAAAUAAAGAGAAGGGGUUUGUUUCUGCAAGGAUCAAGAGUGUGUGAAAGUGUGCAUUGCAAACGAGGCUCCCAUCAAGAAAGCCACCUCUGGAAUGGAAAUGACAAAGCUUGGAACACACACAAUCAAUUAUUUUCACUAGCAUUUAAAAUAUAGAAAACAAAAUCUGCUUUGGGAAUUGACUGAAUAUUUUAUUUAGCUUUUUUAUUGAGACAUCCUUUGAAAAAUGGCAUAAUAUAAAUAGUUUUACAAAGCAACAAUAUAAUCAAUCUCUAAACUAGAAUAUAAAUCAAGGAUUUCAUUAACUGCUAGUAGCCAGUUUAAAUUGUAGUCUUGUCCAUAAUGUCUAUCUAUCUAUGUAUGUCCAAGUUAUAUUAAAAACCUUUAAAUGGCUUUGUAAUAUCAGCUACAUCUAGCUAUUAUAAUAAUUAAUGGUACUGUUUUAUAAAUCAAUACAUGUAUUCUUGAUAAAUUCAUAUCCAGUUAAUGGUGUAAUUUAAAUAAAAAAUUAAUGUAAUAAAGGACAUACAGAAACAGGCAGGAAAUCUUUAAAGGUUAAGAGACAAAUUUGUCUAAAUUCAUUUUUAAGCCGUUUUGAAAAAGUUUAUACUUAAAAUCAGCUGAGAUUUACCUUGUUUCUGUAAAACUAAUUUUGCUGUGUCUGUUGGUAUCCAGUAAUGAAUCUGUGCAUUAUUUUCUUUUUUAACUGUUAAGUUUUAAUUACAUACUUAUGAUACUAUGAGAUAUGUUACUACCGUUAUACUCUUUUGCAAUUAUUGAAUAUUCUUUAAAAAAAUAGAACAAAACUAAAAAUCUCAAGCCAGUAAUUUAUUUUUAAUACAUGAAUGAAAUGUAAAUGCUCUCUCUCUAUUUUUUAUAUCUAUAAGCGAACGGUUCUGAGAAUCUCCAAAGCUAUAUACAAAUUUUAUUUAAGGUGAAAAAGGACUGAUUAGCUCAAUAAAUUUGCAUGCGCAAAAGCGCAGCGUUUUUACUGCUUUCACUGAAUGAACAUCCUAGGAAUUUGAGAAAGAAAAGAAAAAUGCUUUGAAGAGUCUGAAAUGUAUUUUAACGCUGCACACGGGUGGAGAAACAUGUUACAAAGAGAAGAGUGUAUUAUUGUUCUGAUUUAAAAAAUACAUACCAAAGGCAUCUUAAGGAAUAACAGGAUCUAGAAAAACAACUGAAUGUUGUAUGUUAUCAAAUACAAUCUUAAAUCUUUCCAAAUAAAAUUUCAUUUGGUUUAUAGAGUAAGCAUUUUACACGAGAUAUCUUUCAGAAUUAUGCAGACCAGUCUGCCCUGCCAUUCUCCGUGACAUGGUGCAGAAAUGUUACUUUAAUCCACUGAGCUUUUUCUGACAUUUUUCUUAACAUUGCUGAGCCUUAUUUAGAGCAGCAAAGGAGAUGUGUGCAGUUUCCUUUGACACUGAUGGGUGUUUCAAAAUGUUACGAGAGAGAGAGAGAGAGAGAGAGAGAGAGAAAGAGACAGAGACAGAGACGGAGAGAGAGCGCGAGAGAGAAAAGAUUUGCUGCCAGUCACUUUAUCAAUAGAGCUACAGGAGCAAUUACUAUUUGUUAAAAGUUUACAUUUCAAAUGAAGCUAAAUUUUAAAGAAGGCUCAUCCUUUUAAAAGCCUGCUGCUUGGAAGAGGGGGGAAGAGAAUGCACGGUAGUGAUCACAUGUUAAAGUGCGCUCAAGUACUGGAACCAUUUAAAAUGUAUUGUGUUUUUAGACGAAGCCUACAGCAAAACCACUCCUAAGAGGCUUAAUUUAGGUUUUAUAGGAGGAACAUAAAAAAGACCAGGUUACAGCAACACGCUGAAAUAUGGGGUACAUUUUAAAUAUCUUCAUUUAAAAACGUAUGUUUAUUUUCCCUCCUGGGAUCACUAACAUGUGUCUCGACAGAGAAAGCAAGGACAUGCUACAUUCUUAAAAAUUAUCUGUUAAAGGGAUCACAUUCCAAGACAGGUUUGAGCAUUUUUAUUACUACCGAUAACCUCUUAAUUAUGUCACUGCCUUCCACUUGUUAAUCAGGGACAUUCAACAUGGUUAACCAGUGAGCGGUUGCCUUUCGUCGACUUCAUUAUUAUUAGGAAUUAAAAACUCAUUCUAUUCCCAUCAUCAUGUUUUUGCAUCUAUGAGUUUAGCACUGCUAGAAACUUACCUGCUUUAAAUACAGAACACCUAAGAAAAGGUCUAGAUGCCCAUAACAAUGUUGUUAAUUACUUCUAGGUGCAGCUCAUGGAAAGCUUUAAGAGAUGGAUAAUUUUACUUUUCCUGUCUUGCCCCCCUCCCCCAACCCCGCUGCCUCCCCCACAUCUCCCACAAUUCCUAUUUGAACCAAUUUUAGGUUCCUUGUGCAGCCACCAGCGCCUGAGAUACUCAGAGACUUUUUUCAGAGAGCACGGUGUAAGUGGAGUAAAUAAAAUCAUGUUUCACUGUUGCUUUAUCAACCCUCCUAGGUAGUUUUCCUGCCAGCCAACCUGCACUGUUAAGACCCAGAAAAUUAUGCAAUAGUGACUUCUUUGAGGUUCUCUAAUCAGAUGAUGGCCAGUGUUAGGAGGGGAAGGGCCCAAGGCAAUGUUGCUGGCACUUAAUGCUGGGCUUGGUCAUUACUUGUCUGGUAGAGACCAAUAAACAGAUGAUUACUAUCCUAUAAGGAGCCAAUAUUUUACAUUUAUCCUAGUUAUAUCUUUUCUUUUCAACGUCUUAUAACAGAAAGUAUUUGUCAAGAUCUAUGAGGAAUAACCUCACAGGCCCCUUAAAAAUAAGAAUUUUCCUAGCGUGAAAUGAUGCUUUUUGUGCAAUGGUGAGAAUGAUUUUGGUUUUUAUAAGAGCAAAGGUUUGAUUACUUUAAAGUAGUUCUCUUUCAGAUGUGGACAGUCCCAGACCCCAUCCCCCACUCUCAUGUCCCCCUCUCUCCUCUAUGACAGGUUCACAGGCUGCAACCAAGGGGUUUUAAAAUGCAAAUAUUUAUAUUGGAGCUCUGGCAAUAACAGAGUCGUUUUGCUUCCUCUGUUAGCCUGUGAUAAUUGAUGCUUCAUACCUGGAACUACGUUUCAUUUAUCUCUUUACACAUGAAGAUAUUACAUAAAUAAAAGAUAAUUUAUGGAAAGGAAACAGCCAUUUGAAAUAAUAAUCCUAAAUUUCAUUGUAUAAUCUUGAAAGGCUUUAAGAGUCAAAGAUGCAGAUUUCUACAGUUUUAAAGAAAACUUGAUCGCACCUGGGAAAUUUGUGCAUUUUUGCACACUUACUGAAUUUGAAUGCCUGCGUGGAUCAAAAACAAAAAAGAGGGAUAAAAGGAAGGCAGGAGAGAAAAGGUGUGGAUUUCACAUGUGCUUUAAACUAAUGCAUUCGCCCACACGUCCACAGACUUCUUGUUACAAUUUUAUUGACUUUUUCUUUAUAUCCGAAAAUAAUUUCUAAAUAGCUAAUGCAAAUUGCAAAAUAGUGAGUCUUCUGAAGGGCCUUCUCUUCCCGGGGAUCCUCAUCUUAGAAUGAACAGAGGUAUUCCCAGAACCGGACCCUGAUCUCACAACCUCAUACAAAGCCAGGCAAUUCUUGAGCCAAACAAACAAAGGGUGUGUAAGCGAUUUCAUUUAUUUUGAUAAUCCUCCUCUUGCACAGGAGCAUCUUGCUGUCUUUGUCAAAGUGAAUGACAACAAUUUGGCUAACUCUCUCUGAGCUGCGCUCAACAGUGACAGGCAAAUUAUCAGAGGCCCUGCACUUCUUAUUAUCAGAGGAGAAGCCAUCAGGGGGACGCAUGGAGGAUACCUCUCCCUUGUCACUAUUUGUCAGUGGGACAAGGGCCA